UUUUUUUUUUUUUUUUUUUUAACUUCAGGAAUAGUAAAUAUCCAUAAGAAGAAAGAAAUUCACACGUCAGAGCAAAGCUCAGAACUAGAGAAGAUUGAUGCUGAUCAUGGACACUGUACUCCCCAGAAGGAGUCAGGCUGCUUCAGCCCUGGGCUUCUGUGCUGAAGGAGCCUGUGUCACACCUGCCAGCCUCUUCUUCCACAUUUCAUCUGGCAAAACCCAGGCCAUCACUUCAUGGUCCACAGUCAGCCUCAGGAUGGAGGAGGAUGGCAGUGUCAGGACAAGAGGACUGUUGCAAGACAAAGCCUUCAAUGCUGAACCUUAAACCCAAGCCUUCUGCUCUUGCCAGUGUUUUCCUUGCCUGUGUGAGAUGUCGAACCUACUCAAGACUAUUUUGCUGCAUGGAAAACCCUGGACACUUGAUACCACAGAAAUGAGGAAAAAUUCUGGGCAGAGCUUCUUUGCUUCUCAACAAGUGCAACAAAAUGUUUCCCAUUUCUAAUAAACAAGGGUUAUUCU
rnacentral:lncRNA from 1 species